UACGUAGGGUGCAAGCGUUAAUCGGAAUUACUGGGCGUAAAGCGUGCGCAGGCGGUUAUGUAAGACAGAUGUGAAAUGCCCGGGCUUAACCUGGGAACUGCAUUUGUGACUGCAUGGCUAGAGUUUGGCAGAGGGGGGUAGAAUUCCACGUGUAGCAGUGAAAUGCGUAGAUAUGUGGAGGAACACCGAUGGCGAAGGCAGCCCCCUGGGUCAAGAUUGACGCUCAUGCA
rnacentral:rRNA from 1 species